UUCAGGAUUCAGGAUUCAGGAUUC
rnacentral:miRNA from 1 species